UACGAAGGGGGCUAGCGUUGUUCGGAAUUACUGGGCGUAAAGCGCGCGCAGGCGGUCCUUCAAGUCAGAGGUGAAAGCCCAGAGCUCAACUCUGGAAUGGCCUUUGAGACUAGAGGACUUGGGUACGGGAGAGGCGAGUGGAAUUCCGAGUGUAGAGGUGAAAUUCGUAGAUAUUCGGAAGAACACCAGUGGCGAAGGCGGCUCACUGGCCCGUUACCGACGCUCAGGCGCGACAGCGUGGGGAGCAAACAGG
rnacentral:rRNA from 1 species